AAUGAACGUUGGCGGCGUGGAUUAGGCAUGCGAGUCGUGCGCGAACUGUAGCAAUACAGGGAGAGCGGCGAAAGGGAGAGGACAACGUGGGAAUCUGCCCUCGGGACGGGGAUAGCGGCGGGAAACUGCCGGUAAUACCCGAUAAUAUCUUUGGAUCAAAGGUGUGAUUCCGCCCGAGGAUGAGCCCACGCCCUAUUAGCUUGUUGGCGGGGUAACGGCCCACCAAGGCAAUGAUGGGUAGCUGGUGUGAGAGCAUGACCAGCCUCAUUGGCACUGAGACACUGGCCAGACACCUACGGGUGGCUGCAGUCGAGAAUCUUCGGCAAUGGACGAAAGUCUGACCGAGCGACGCCGCGUGCGGGAUGAAGGCCCUUGGGUUGUAAACCGCUGUCGUAGAGGAACAAAGGUAUGUGGGUUCUCCCGUGUAUUUGAGUGAUUCUAGGAGGAAGGAGAGGCUAAGCUCGUGCCAGCAGCCGCAGUAAAAC
rnacentral:rRNA from 1 species